UUUCAACAUGUAUUCUAGCGAUCGUCAUGGAAAGAUUGUCUCUCUUUCUACUUUUUUCUUUAUUUCUGCUGGCUGUGAGAAAUGCCCCUGUCCUAAGUCACCUUCAUGGGUCCUUGUAAACAUGCCUGCAUGCUUCAUCUACAAAUAUUGCUGUCCUCCAUGAGCCAUCAUCUUCACACUGCCUUCAGCAAACAGACCGAGGUAAGAGUUCUAAACCCAAGGGGACAUGAGAAAACCAGCUUUAUCUUCUUAAACAUCUCUGCCAGAGUAAGGGGUGUGGAGGAGUUGGAGGUGUGAAGCUUACCCUUCGUUGCGGAAGAUGGUGCUGAAGCAGUGUCCUAAGCUCCUGUAGCUGUUGGGAUCACUAGUCCCUCUCUGGAGCUGAAACCUGACAAGACAGGGUUUGAGAAAUAAACAUGAUUUAAUGAAACUA